CCACAUCAUGUUGAACCACUAGUUACCAUAUGAUCACUGAAGUUAAGCAGCAUUGAGCCUGGUCAGUACCUAGAUGAGUGACCACUUGGAAUUACCAGGUGCUGAA